rfam:Candidatus Accumulibacter sp. 66-26 scnpilot_expt_750_p_scaffold_146, whole genome shotgun sequence.
GAAGUCGGUUAGGCAACCGCCGCGUGCUUCGGCACGGGGAGGAAAGUCCGGGCUCCGCAGAGCAGGAUGCCGGUUAACGACCGGGCACCGCAAGGUGACGGAAAGUGCAACAGAGAAUAGACCGCCGAUGGCUCCCUCGGGCGACCGAGGGAGAUCAGGCAAGGGUGAAACGGCGAGGUAAGAGCUCACCGCGGACGUGGUAACACGGACGGCACGGCAAACCCCAUCCGGAGCAAGGCCAAAUAGGGAAGCAUCAGGCGUGGCUCGCGCCGCUUCCGGGUAGGCUGCUUGAGCGUACUGGCAACAGUGCGCCUAGAGGAAUGGUUGCCCGCGACAGAACCCGGCUUAUCGACCGGCUUCCCAC